AAAGACAACAUGAAGACAGUCUCAGUCUUGGUUCUGAUGGCUAUGCUUGCCAUAGGGAAGGACUCUGCUGGUGCUCUGAGAUCUUCCAGAAGUUUACAGAAACCUGGAGCUUGCCCCAUUAUUCCCCCAACUUCUAUUGGAGCUUGUGAUGAUAACUGCUUAACAGAUGAAUCAUGCCCUGAGCAAAUGAAGUGCUGCAACAAUGGGUGUGGACAGGACUGCAUGCCGGCUGUCUUUGGAAAAUCUGGCAGCCCUUUGGGAGAUGGAUUCCAUACUCACCAGAAUGACUGAUGGCCAGCCCCAGAAGAUUUCCCAUGAAUUGACGGGUCCCCGCCUGCUA